UGUGUAGGUGGCUGAGAUAGUCAAGGAUGAAAUCCCGAGGCUCAACUUCGGAACUGUCCUUGAUACUGCUCAGCUUGAGGGUAGUUGAGGAAGACGGAAUUCCCGGUGGAGCGGUGAAAUGCGUAGAUAUCGGGAGGAACACCAGAGGCGAAGGCGGUCUUCUGGGCUAUUCCUGACACUGAAACACGAAAGCUAGGGGAGCGAACG
rnacentral:rRNA from 1 species